GACGAAAAACCUUACCCACCUUUGACAUGGCAGGAACUUACCAGAGAUGGUUUGGUGCUCGAAAGAGAACCUGCACACAGGUGCUGCAUGGCUGUCGUCAGCUCGUGUCGUGAGAUGUUGGGUUAAGUCCCGCAACGAGCGCAACCCUUGCCAUUAGUUGCUACGAAAGGGCACUCUAAUGGGACUGCCGGUGACAAACCGGAGGAAGGUGGGGAUGACGUCAAGUCCUCAUGGCCCUUAUAGGUGGGGCUACACACGUCAUACAAUGGCUGGUACAAAGGGUCGCCAACCCGCGAGGGGGAGCCAAUCCCAUAAAGCCAGUCGUAGUCCGGAUCGCAGUCUGCAACUCGACUGCGUGAAGUCGGAAUCACUAGUAAUCGUGGAUCAGAAUGUCACGGUGAAUACGUUCCCGGGUCUUGUACACACCGCCCGUCACACCAUGGGAGCGGGUCUCGCCAGAAGUAGGUAGCCUAACCGCAAGGAGGGCGCUUACCACGGCGGGGUUCGUGACUGGGGUGAAGUCGUAACAAGGUAGGCGUAGAUGA
rnacentral:rRNA from 1 species